AUGGUGGUGUCAAAAUUCUAGCAAGUAUUUCGUGCUAAGCAAAAUGGCUCGUGGCACUUUUUGCAUUCCAAUCACAACGGUUGCCUCGGAAUCGGCCUUUAGUGCUGGAGGACGUGUAUUGGAUGACUAUAGAAGCUCUCUUUCCAAAGAUAUGGCCGAGCUUCUUGUUUGUGGAAUAGAUUGGAUAAAGUCGGCAUCAAAAUCAUUUAUUAAGACAUUAGAAGAAGAAGAAAAUUUGGAAAUUCCAAUCCCGACGAGUGAUGGGGCAUCUAGUUGACAUAAAAGGUUAAUUCAUUCUCAUGGCUAUGGGCAGGUGCUAUAAUAUAAGAUGGUAAUGGGGUGAUAGCAUUGGUGCUAGUGAGCUUAUGUAAUUAAUUUGGGUUUUUUUUUUUUCUUUUUCUGAACGG